GGUAAGUCGAAUCGAAAUCGCUCCGUGAUUUCGUGUUUUCUUGCUCACACUGAGCAAAUUCCGCGUACGAAUGAAUACCGAAUGUGUCAAAUUGAGCGAUGUGCGAUUCUUUUGAAGUAUUAAGUUACUCACGCGAUCGCGAUCAAUGCAUAUUUCCGUUCGAAGCCCAUCGUCUCUCGCGUUCCGCCGCGGGACUACCGACCACACUCUGUUUGCACUACUUGCUCCUCACACAGACAUCGUAAGCGUCAUUCUAUCUUGAGAUUAUCGAAAAGCAUCGACGAAAGCAUCGAGGAUUUGUCAUAACAGCUUCAACGAAGCAAGUAACUUGAUACAAAUAAUAAGAUAUUCGCGUAUGGAACAGUCCAUUAAAUAAGACAUUCGCGUAUGGAACAGUCCAUUAUGGCUUUUCGACAAAACAUGCAUUCAUCAUGCCUUUACGCGUAUAUUAAUGAUAUGGAUAUUUGCGAUGAGCAUUUCAAUGUGCUAAUUAGGCAGUUUGGUCGUAAUAAAACAAAUUUUGGAUAUUUUUGCAUCAGAAUCGAAAAGGUAUUUAAUAUGUUUCGAUCGAAUUUAUCGAUGACGUGUCGUUAGAUCAUCGCACUAUUUGUUGCUGCAUAGUAACGAGAAAUAGGCGCAUGAAGGUGGCGUAAGAAUUUUGUCAACCGCCAAUCAGUUCACGUCACAUUCUUAGACUUAACAGCUGUAUCGCGAUCGUUCCGUGUUUUCGCGCCUUUUUAUAUGUUUUGGACGAAUUUCACACAUAAAUGAUGCUGAGUGUGUCGAAUUGAACGAUUAGAGAUUAUUUCGGGACAAUAAAUUGUGAUCACGAUAAGUGCGUAUCCCAGCAUUCGAAGUUAGUUCAUCGUUUAACAUUUUUGUCGUGGGACUCUGUUGUCCGAUACACGCUUUUUCAACAUAUUUCAGCCUUAGUGGCCCGCAAGCGCUAUUAGACAACAAGUACCUAUAUUGAGAACCAUUGACAAAAGCAUCAAGGGAUUGUCGUAACGGAUACAAUGGAAAAGGUUAUGUCUCUCGUUUCAGAUGUGAGAUGCCGCGUAAAGCUGUAUUUAUCCUGAGUUUCUAUUUUGUGCGCGUCGCGUUUAACGAAUCGGGAGUGUCGUUCGUGUACACGGGCGAAUAUCGUAUUUCGGGUUAUUUUCAUCCAAAGUGUAUCAAAGUCCGUGGAUAAAUAAUCGUCGGGAGUGUCGAAUAAAGUUACGGGCGAUAUCGUAUUGAAGUGAUUAUCGUCGCGAGUGAUUUGGAAAGCAGAGCAAUAGCUAGGUGCAGAAAUGGAGCUGCAGAGAUGUAGCAGAGAGCAGAAUUAUAGUAGAGCAACAACUGAUUACAACUUGUGAACAACUUUGCUGCUGUAUAUUGUGUUGAUUUCUCAGUGAAAAAGGAUUGAAAAAGUCAAGUUAAUGAGGAUAGAAUCCGAAGGGAGCGCCAGGCGUGAUGUAGCACGGCGAACAUAGACAGAAAGCAACGCAACAAUUAAAUCGUCCUUACGUCUACUUCAAUUGGACUGUGUAAUCGCUGUAGAUAAUGAUCAACGUGACUUACCGCUCUUACUGGAAGGAAUUACGAGCGCCGAGGAAGGGAGACGAAGAGGCCACGCGAAGGCUGGAGACAGGUUCGACCGAUCGAUCCGUAGAGCAACAAAGCCAUUAUCUGCUUCAGCCGUUCAAGCACAAGCGUCUCGGAACAAGAACAAUGUGAUUGCGCGAGGAAAAAGAAUUCCUGUUUUAACGUCGCGAUGUAUCUUUCUCGAGCGCGGUAACGCAAAAAGACGGCGCCUUUAUGUGUGACGGCUGCGCCGCUGAGUCGGCCGCAUUAUUUUGUGGAGCGUCGAGCGAAAACAGCGUGUCGACGCAAGAAGAUAAAUCGCACCCUUAAGAAAGGAUUCUAUGAUUUUAAAUUUACACCAUCCAGUUUACAAACAACACGAUCGGAAUAUAAUACAAAUAUAACUGGACAUCAGGCAUUAUGAAGUUUGGAAUAGAGAUUUAACUAUGUUUUAUAGCUAUUAUAUCUAGGACGGGAAAUACAAAGCUCCGGAUAGAAGAAAUUUAAUUUUAUCUUAACAGAAAAUAUUGCUUAUAUAUGUGUAUAAAUAUACAUUGCAAAAAUACAGUGGUCUGAAUUUACAGAGUAAAAAAUCAGACUUUACGAAAAAUGAACAAGAGAAAAAUUAAAAUCCUUGUUCGUGAAAUCUAAUUUUGUUUAUGUCAGCACAUUGGUAUAAAAGAAGAAACAUUGCACUAUUCCGUCUGCAUCAAACAAAGUUGACAUUUCCGAGCAAAUAAUCGUUUGAAAGCGAUAGCAUCGAUUGCUGAAAUUGGAGGAGAGAUCGGAGAAUUUAUGAGGGUAGCGAAGGAAAAGGAAGCUGCGACAUAUAGUGCGUCUCGUAGCUGGCGCUCAUAGGAGUAGCCCCAACAACUUUUCUCAUUACAGCGAUCGAUGUCGACCCAAUUAAAGUUAACUUUCCAACGUAAUAAAAAACUGGCAGGAGACAAGAGAGGCCGAGAGGGAAAGAGAGUGGAAUAAAUCGGGAGUUUGAUCUUGACGAGGAUGCAGAUAUCGACGAUAUACUAUGGAGAGGCGGAAGGAAAAGAACACAAGGAUGAGAAUUUGAAAAGUAGUGGAGACGCGCCGCGACGACCCCGAUCGAUCUAUCGCAAGUCAAAUAUCACGUCGCAAUACAUU
rnacentral:lncRNA from 1 species